CACUUUUUUAAUGCGCAUGCGCGACCCUCUGGCAAGUGUCAUGCACAUUUUUUAUCAGGAAAAAGAUAGGGAAAUGCAAAAUUUUGGCAGUAAAACGGCGAUUUUAAGCGCAGUGACCGAUCCAUCUUCAUUUUCUGCACGAAUUUUGCAAAUAAAUGGCACACUGCGUCUUCUUAGCGAAAGGGAAUUGAACGAAUACCAUUUUUAACGGCGAAAAUGAGAAAAGACACCCGAAGGAGUGAGAAUUUCUGGCAAUCUGAAGAUUCGAUUCUGUAGACCUGAACUCCAGCUGGAACUUAGCAACUUUAUAU